GAUGAAGAACGUAGCGAAAUGCGAUAAGUAAUGUGAAUUGCAGAAUUCAGUGAAUCAUCGAGUCUUUGAACGCACAUUGCGCCCCCUGGUAUUCCGGGGGGCAUGCCUGUCCGAGCGUCAUUGCUGCCCUCAAGCACGGCUUGUGUGUUGGGCCCCCGUCCCCGGUUCUCCCCGGGGACGGGCCCGAAAGGCAGCGGCGGCACCGCGUCCGAUCCUCGAGCGUAUGGGGCUUUGUCACCCGCUCUGUAGGCCCGGCCGGCGCCAGCCGACACCCCAACUUUAUUUUCUAAGGUUGACCUCGGAUCAGGUAGGGAUACCCGCUGAACUUAAGCAUAUCAAUAAGCGGAGGA
rnacentral:misc_RNA from 1 species